rnacentral:rRNA from 1 species
UACGUAGGUGGCAAGCGUGGUCCGGAUUUACGGGGCGUAAAGAGCGCGCAGGCGGUCGUUCAAGUCGCGUGUGAAAGCCCCCGGCUCAACUGGGGAGGGUCACGCGAUACUGAUCGACUCGAAGGCAGGAGAGGGAAGUGGAAUUCCCGGUGUAGUGGUGAAAUGCGUAGAUAUCGGGAGGAACACCAGUGGCGAAGGCGACUUCCUGGCCUGUUCUUGACGCUGAGGCGCGAAAGCUAGGGGAGCAAACGGG